GACGAACGCUGGCGGCGUGCUUAACACAUGCAAGUCGAGCGGUAAGGCCUCUUCUGGGGUACACGAGCGGCGAACGGGUGAGUAACACGUGGGUGACCUGCCCUCAGCUCUGGGAUAAGCCUGCGAAACUGGGUCUAAUACCGGAUAUGACCUUUCCUCGCAUGGGGUUUGGUGGAAAGUUUUUUCGGCUAGGGAUGGGCCCGCGGCCUAUCAGCUUGUUGGUGGGGUGAUGGCCUACCAAGGCGACGACGGGUAGCCGGCCUGAGAGGGCGACCGGCCAGACUGGGACUGAGACACGGCACAGACACCUACGGGAGGAAGCAGUGGGGAAUAUUGCGCAAUGGGCGGAAGCCGGACGCAGCGACGCCGCGUGGGGGAUGACGGCCUUCGGGUUGUAAACCUCUUUCGACCCCGACGAAUUUGGACGGUAGGGGUAGAAGAAGCACCGGCCAACUACGUG
rnacentral:rRNA from 1 species